rnacentral:tRNA from 1 species
GGAAAGAUGUCCGAGUGGUUGAAGGUGUAGACCUGGAACGUCUAUAUGGUUUUAAAACCAUCGAGGGUUCGAAUCCCUCUCUUUCCG